UACAGAGGGUGCGAGCGUUGUUCGGAAUUAUUGGGCGUAAAGGGCGCGUAGGCGGUUUCUUAAGUUUGAAGUGACAGUGGGUGGCUUAACUACCCAAGGCCUUUGAAAACUGGGGAACUUGAGGACCAGAGAGGGACAUAGAAUUCCGGGUGGAGUGGUGAAAUGCGUAGAUAUCCGGAGGAAUACCAAAGGCGAAGGCAGUGUCCUGGAGGGUUAACUGACGCUGAGGCGCGAAAGCUAGGGGAGCGAACAGG
rnacentral:rRNA from 1 species